rnacentral:tRNA from 1 species
UGGUGCUAUAGCUCAGUGGUAGAGUGCUUGCCUAGUAUAUGUGAGGCACUGGGUUGGAGUCUCAGCGCCAA